rnacentral:rRNA from 1 species
GUUCCCACCUGACCCCAUGCCGAACUCAGAAGUGAAACGCCGUAGCGCCGAUGGUAGUGUGGGGCCUCCCCAUGCGAGAGUAGGGAACUGCCAGGC